rnacentral:rRNA from 1 species
UACGUAUGGGGCAAGCGUUAUCCGGAUUUACUGGGUGUAAAGGGAGCGUAGGCGGCGGGGCAAGCCUGAUGUGAAAGCCCGGGGCUCAACCCCGGGACUGCAUUGGGAACUGCCCUGCUGGAGUGCCGGAGGGGCAGGCGGAAUUCCUAGUGUAGCGGUGAAAUGCGUAGAUAUCACGCAGAACUCCGAUUGCGAAGGCAGCAUACCGGCGCCCAACUGACGCUGAAGCACGAAAGCGUGGGUAUCGAACAGG